rnacentral:rRNA from 1 species
GGAAAGGUCCGCCGGAAAAAGAGGGGCCCGCGUCUGAUUAGCUUGUUGGUAGGGUAAUGGCCUACCAAGGCGACGAUCAGUAGCUGGUCUGAGAGGAUGAUCAGCCACACUGGGACUGAGACACGGCCCAGACUCCUACGGGAGGCUGCAGCAGGGAAUAUUGUGCAAUGAGCGAAAGCUUGACACAGCGACACCGCGUGUGGGAUGACGGAUCUAGGUUUGUAAACCACUUUCAGGAGGGAAGAAAAUGACGGUACCUCCACAAGAAGCCCCGGCCAACUACGUGCCAGCAGCCGCGGUAAUACGUAGGGGGCGAGCGUUGUCCGGAUUUAUUGGGCGUAAAGAGCUCGUAGGCGGUUCAACAAGUCGGUCGUGAAAGUUCAGGGCUCAACCCUGAAAUGUCGAUCGAUACUGUUGUGACUAGGAUACGGUAGAGGUGAGUGGAAUUCCGAGUGUAGCGGUGAAAUGCGUAGAUAUUCGGAGGAACACCAAUUGCGAAGGCAGCUCACUGGGCCGCUAUCGACGCUGAGGAGCGAAAGCUAGGGGAGCAAACAGGAUUAGAUACCCUGGUAGUCCUAGCUGUAAACGAUGGAUACUAGACGUAGGAACUGGAUUGACGGUUUCUGUGUCGCAGCUAACGCGUUAAGUAUCCCGCCUGGGGAGUACGGUCGCAAGACUAAAACUCAAAGGAAUUGACGGGACCCCGCACAAGCGGCGGAGCAUGCGGCUUAAUUCGAUGAUACCCGUAGAACCUUACCUGGACUUGACAUAUAGGGUCAAGCUAUAGAAAUAUAGUGUGCAUUAGCGCCCUAUACAGGUGGUGCAUGGCUGUCGUCAGCUCGUGUCGUGAGAUGUUGGGUUAAGUCCCGCAACGAGCGCAACCCCUGUCCUAUGUUGCCAGCAUUUAGUUGGGGACUCAUAGGAGACUGCCGGUGAUAAACCGGAGGAAGGUGGGGAUGACGUCAAGUCAUCAUGCCCCUUAUGUCCAGGGCUGCACGCAUGCUACAAUGGCAAGUACAACGAGUCGCAAUACCGCGAGGUGGAGCAAAUCUCUUAAAGCUUGUCUCAGUUCGGAUAGGAGUCUGCAACUCGACUCCUUGAAGUUGGAGUCGCUAGUAAUCGCAAAUCAGCAAUGUUGCGGUGAAUACGUUCUCGGGGUUUGUACACACCGCCCGUCAAGUCACGGAAGUCGGCAAUACCCGAAGCCAGUGGUCCAACCCUUUUAUUAGGGAGGAAGCUGUCGAAGGUAGGGUCGGUAACUGGGACUAAGUCAUAACAAGGUAACCGUA